rnacentral:rRNA from 1 species
UACGUAGGAUGCAAGCGUUGUCCGGAAUUAUUGGGCGUAAAGAGCGCGCAGGCGGUUUUACAAGUCAGAUGUGAAAGAAGCCGGCUUAACCGGCAAGGGUCAUUUGAAACUGUGAGACUAGAGUGCAGCAGAGGAUAGCGGAAUUCCCGGUGUAGUGGUGAAAUGCGUAGAUAUCGGGAGGAACACCAGUGGCGAAGGCGGCUAUCUGGGCUGCAACUGACGCUGAGACGCGAAAGCGUGGGGAGCGAACAGG